rnacentral:rRNA from 1 species
GACGAACGCUGGCGGCGUGCUUAACACAUGCUAGUCGAACGGUAAGGCCCCUUCGGGGGUACACGAGUGGCGAACGGGUGAGUAACACGUGAGCAACCUGCCCUUGACUCUGGAAUAACAGUUGGAAACAGCUGCUAAUACUGGAUAUUCAUCGUCUCCUUCCUGGGGGGUGGUGGAAAGCUCCGGCGGUCAGGGAUGGGCUCGCGGCCUAUCAGCUUGUUGGUGAGGUAAUGGCUCACCAAGGCUUCGACGGGUAGCCGGCCUGAGAGGGCGACCGGCCACACUGGGACUGAGCUACGGCCCAGACUCCUACGGGAGGCAGCAGUGGGGAAUAUUGCACAAUGGGCGCAAGCCUGAUGCAGCAACGCCGCGUGCGGGAUGACGGCCUUCGGGUUGUAAACCGCUUUCAGUAGGGACGAAGGGUGACUGACGGUACCUACAGAAGAAGGACCGGCUAACUACGUG